rnacentral:lncRNA from 1 species
AAGUUUCUAAUUUAACCCCAGCCUCUUACAACAAAAGGUUUGGCAUAAGAAAACUGCUACAUCUUUCCUUGCAUAUAUUUUAUUUCUUUCCCACCCACUCCCUUUUGUGGUUUUCUUUCUUUUUCUUUAAGUAGCACCCGAGUCCCAGUGAGCAUUUUAGUGAGCCUAGUCACUUAGAAAUACAAAAUGAGCCUAAUAAUCUAUGCAAAGGAAAAGGAAUGAAUAAAAGUUCUCAAGAAAGGCUAGAUUUGUUACACAGACAUUCCUGGUAGCCUGUCUUCAUGAGAGCUAUCUUAUUUCACAGCACAGUGUUGCUAUUUUGUUAAUGAUUCUUUCAAAGAAUUUAGGAUCUUAGAGACUUUUAAGGAUCAUUAAAAUGCUAAAAUGUGUUCUGCAGCACGUUUUAAAUAGGCAAGGCAAUGUUUGGCUUUCAUCAUCUAAGUGCUGAACUUUUUGCCCCCAUAUCUAAGUUGUUAAAUGUGUAAAAGUGAUAUAGAAUUGCCACUCCAUUUAUGCAGCUUAGUGGUAAGACGGGUAGAUACAAUGCACUGGGCACAGUAAUUGCUGUUUUGCAGUUGUUAGAAAGCACUUACAGUGAGAAGUAAUUGCACCUUGGUGUUGAAUUGAUCAGUUGUAAUAUGCUUAAUUUUAUAGUAAGAAGUAUUCUGGGUCUUUUGAAAGUAAAAAUCUGAAUGCAUAAAAUUAAAAUGUCUUUUAGUAAGUGAUGUUUUGCCACCCAUAUUAAUGUUUUGUAGUAUAAACCUCACAGUGAGUAGGAGGAGUAUUUCAGAAGUCAUGGUUGUUUUAAAAAAUGUCAUUUAUUUCUUUGUAAAGACAACUUAUGGUGAUCUUCCAAAUUUGCAAAAUUAGCUAAUUAAGCAAAUCUCACUACAUAUGUUAGGUGAAAAUGUAAAAUGAAUGGAGUGAAAGUGGAAAGACUAAAGAUCCCUAAUUCUCCCCUGAGCCUGUGUCUCUUCCCAGUGCACAAUGAGGCCUACUGUUUCACCUGUUCAAUUUUUCUAACUUUUUUUUUUUUUACUUCUUCAAUCUUUUCUAUGAUAACCUUACCUUAUACUUACUUAUCUGCAUAUGAAAUACUUCCUUUACUGAGUUGUUUCCAUUUUGUGUCCUUUACUGUUCAUCUUCUUGCUUUUCUGCUAUCUAACCCUGCAGCAGUCCCAAACCUUCACAGAAAGGCUGCUGACAAGAAGGCAGCUGCAGAGAGUCACAUGAGCUUUCUCAGUUGGCCACUGCACCUGGCUCCCUGCACAAAAUGAUUGGGCUUGACCACUGCUCUGUGGCACUUUGCUUUCUAUAGCCUUGUCAAGGUGCUUUCCGUUUUUUUCAGUGCACUAUUGAUGUAUCGGUUAGAUAUGGCAGAGGUCCAGGAAGAUGUGGUGAAAGCCAUCACAAGUGGCAAAACUGAUGAGCCACAGCUAAAGGGCAAAAAAGUAGAUUUUAAAAAAUGUCCAAGCUUCUUUAGUAACUCAGGAUAUUAAAGCAUUUAAUUUUCUAUCUCAGAAUAAGGAUCUUAGUUAUAUGAUUUUAAACAUUACUAAUAUCAUUGAGGUAUAUUUACGCAAAUCUACUUUGUUGUAAGAAACUGAUCUUCAUUAAAUGUCUAUGCUAUGAAAAAACUAUAAGUUAUAAAUUUAUUUUGAUACCUGUCUCUUUCUAAAGAUAUGCUAGAAGGAGAAUCCUAGGUAAUUUAGUCACUUUUAACAACUAAAAAUUGCCAGCUUUGUCUUACACGUUUUUGUUGCUGUUGUUGUUGUUGAAAAAUAAGAUAUUUAUCCAUCAUGCAUGGCAAACUAUUAAAUAUAAAUUUAUAAAUAAAAUAGCUAAAAUGAUCAGUAUUUUAAAGAUAAUAGGCAAAGCAUAUCAUGUAUUAUGUUAAACCAUUGGACGAUAACAGCAUCUGCCAGAGAAAUCUUAAUUUUCAUGAACUAGAGAUCUUUUCUUAAUUUCAGUAACAUUUCAGAUGUUGGCAAAUAAAGAUUUGACUUAUAAAUAAAGGGAAUUCACUUCAGUUGUUUACAAAUAUUUGUUCAAGCUUCUGACGAAUCUAUGAGAUAUAUUCUGAUAACGUAAGGAGACUUAUAAUUGGAAAAUAUAUAGAAGUCAAUAUACUGAAAGAAAGUGAACAACGCUGUAGGCAUUUUGAGCGGUGAUAAGAUGAAAUAGAAUUUUGAUGUGCAUUUUUUUAUUUACUAAUGUUAAUUGUAAUGAUAAAUAUCUGGCCCUGGCCUAUUCUUAUAACUAUAGUUAAUAUCUCUGAAAUACUUUGAGAUACUUAGAAAGAUGGCUAGAAAUUUUCUCAAAAAAUGAAUUUUGUUUUCUUUAAAUUUGUUUUGUCACACAUACUGAAGGUUGAUUAGAAGCAGUAUCGUUUUGAAAGGAGCACAUAUUAAAUACACUUCUAAUUCCCUGAAGCAGGACCACCUACUGCUACUGAGUAAAAUAUAAAUAUGUGUGUCUUAAAAUGUACCUGAGUCUAUCUUUUUAAAACAGGCAGUCCCUCAUAUCAGCUGUCAUUGCAAAAUAGCUUAUUCCUGAGGCCUGGAAAGAAAUGAUUGGAAAUAACGAUUGCAAGUGAAAUUACAUAUUUUAAGACAUUUAGUGUUUGUCCUCAAUAGUAUUUGAAUACUGAAUAAUAAACAAAUGCCAAGUAGUAUU